CUAACAGAAAACUAAAACUGGCAGAAAACUAGUAUUUUUACUUUCUUUUUGUUGAUUUGUUAUUGAAAUUGUACAUUUUAGUUAUAACGAAUGGCUGAUUUUACCACAGUCCGUACCAGUAAUUGAAGAAUUUGAUAUUAUUUUCAAGAAAUUAUGGAUACGGAAUUAGAUGCAGAUAUUGAGAUAGAUCCUGAUCUGUUCAUUAAAUGUCGACUAUGUAUUGAAGAGAAUGGAUCUUUUCGCAUACAUCAAUCAUUGCAGGAUCAAAUUAAAUUCUGUUUUGAUAUUACCGUUCAAGAUUUUGACUAUCUGUCUAAACUGCUAUGUAAGAAGUGCAGAACAAUUUUGGGAGAAUUUGUUGCAGUUAAAAAGAAGUUCAUUGCAAACCAAACAAUAUUACUGGAUAAAUUAAAGUCAAGAGAAAAUCAACGAGGUUGUAAUGACACAAAUACGGGUUGUAGUAUUGAACAAGUAAACAAGGAAAAGGCGGAGAAGGCAGCUAUUGAUAAAAUAAGAGGAGCCCAAGAAAUUAAAAAAAGAAAGACAAGAAUUAAUAAAAGGGUUUCUCUGUUUAACCCAUCUUCCAGUGAGGAUGAAGAAUUUAGUAGUCGUUCUGCCAGUAGAAGGAGUAAAAGGAAAAUAUCAAGUUCUUCGGAAUCAUCUUGUGAAAGAGAAGUGGAGCCUGUGGCACAGGAGACCAUUAAAGUUGAUGAACCCAAACAGUUACUGACAUGGGAUCAAAGCUAUCAAAAAUAUUAUGUGUGCAGGUUUUGUGAUUACAAGAACUACACUGAAGAAGGCAUAAUUAUGCAUGGUAAAAUUCAUUCCAAACUGAUGCAAUCUUGUGUAGUGUCUUUACAAAAACAUUGUACAAUUGAAAUGGAAAAAAUUGACGAUAGACCAAAUGUUACUGGAGAUCUGGGAAAUGUUGUCCUUAGCCACGACAAAAUUGUAUCAGGCGUACAUAAUAUUUGUUAUUACGUCAAAUAUAUUUUGCCUGAACAAUCUUACGAGACUAAGCGAGUAUUAACAUUAAAAAGAAUUGUGUAUGAUUCUUCAGAAGAUGAUACAGUCAGAAAAUAUCGCAAUACGAAGAAUAAGAAAAUAAGAUUGCAAUCGCGGAGUUCUUCUAAUGAAACCGUAGUUCUUGAAGGUAGUAGGAGUAGGAGUCAAACAUCUGAUAAGGAUAGAAACACAAAUGACAAAGUAAAAAAAGGUAACAAAAAAUCGGAUUCACUUGAUAUUGAAUGUAUUGAUAUUGUAGAUACUUCAUCUAAUGAUAGCAAUGACCAAGUAAAACCUAACCAUAAAACAAAGGAUAAUGAAUUAAAAAUAAUUCAUGAUGUAACUGCUGAUUGCUUUAAAAAAUACUUGGCAAGUUGUGUCAACAUUCCGCAAAAUGAAUCUGGCAAUAAAAAUUUAGAUGAGAUGUUACAUCGAAAAUUAUUAAGUGUUGGGAGAAAACUAAUGCCUACAAAUGUAUCAAGAGGUUUACCAACACCUGGUCUUUUAAAAUACUUACAAUACAAAAAUGUUAAUAUAAAUUGGAUACCUGCAUGUAAGCAAAAUUUUUGUAGAAUUAUUACUGAGAUUGCACCUCAAAAAACAAAUACUAAUUUAAAGGGCUGGUAUGCUGUCAAAGGGAAUAUUGAUUUUGAAGUUAGAGAAAAAAACUCAGAAGAUCAUCUGCUUGAUCAAGUACAAGAGAAGCAAAAUGAUUUAGACAAAAUAGCAGAAAAUAAUGAGCAAGAAAUAAACAUUUCUGAACAAGUAACUAAUAAUGAAACUGAAACAGUCAUUAAGGAUACCUCAAUGGAAAUUUCUUCAACACCAGUUAUCCCUGUGGCAAAACCUUUUGUAGUGCCUGCUGUAUUACAUCAGAUUAUAGACACCGAUAUUGAACAAGGCAACAAACUGCUCAAUGCCAACCCUGUAGCUAAUCCCAAGCAGCUUCCAAAAAAGAAUACUUUUAUGCCUCAUUAUGAAAUGAAAAAAACAGUUGACACAAAUAAUCCACCAAAAGCAGCUGAAUCUGUAAAAGAUUCCUUACUAUUAGUAGACCAGAAUCAGCCACCAGAGCUGUCUAUGCCUAUAAUAACGUCUACAACUUCCUUAGCGCAAAACCCCGUAAAACAAAAUGGUAUGGGAAUUAGUAAUAAACCAGAGGCACUCCCAAGUGAAAGAAAUGAAAUGUCGAAGAAUACACCACGAAUUAAAUGCAAGCCAGUAUCAGAAUUGAUGCCUCAGUCACGUUCCAUUCUCAAAACACCUCAACAUGUUCAAAAGGUGGCGAGUGUAAGCCAAAUGCCACACCUCGUCUCCAUCAUUUCCAAAACAGCCCCUAAGCCGGCUCAAGAUGUAUUCUUUACUCCCACGGACAAAGGGCAAAUUACGAUGAACAGUGUCGACUUACCAAACUCAUCAUCAAUAAGUCCUAUUGAAUACUUUAAAACGGUGCUUAAGAUGCACGGACUGGAAUUGAUAUCACAAGUUAAUUAUAAGCUGACGCACGACUUUAUAUCUCUUGUAAAGUUUAAACUGGAGUGUAGCCUGCUAGAGAGAACUGUAGUUAUUUGCUUGUCGUUGUUUGCGCACGAGAGUACGUUCUGUCUGAAGUUGCGGAAUUCAGCGGAGGAGAUGGACCUGGACCUGCUGCCGGCGCACUGGCAGAUGAAGAUCCUGCAGGCCUACCGUGGGGAGGUGUCGCAAAAGAUUCUACAAUUCUCCAAGACGUUAAACGAAAGACUUCAUAACAACGCGAAGCAGUUUGUGUUACUUCUCGAAAACAUUGAGUUUAAGGUUAGUCCGGGUUUAGGUGAUUAGUGUUCAUUAGGUAAGUGUAAAUAUGCUACUGUUAAAGUGUACUUUGAAGUAUUAGAAAAAGUUUCAUUUUUAUACAGUUGUUAUUCUAAACCUAACAUUUCAGAUUAUGGUACAUAUAUGUAUACUGUUUUGUACAGGUGUAAUUGUAUAAUUAUUCAUACUUUAAUUUCUGCAUAACUGCAUGACCUAUGCUAUAUGUUAGCUUUUUUUGGUAACCCUGUUUUUGUCUUCUAUGUUUAAAGAUAAAAUAUCGGACUGACUAAAAUUACGGUUAUGUUUAGUGUAUUAAAACUUUAAUGACUCA